rnacentral:rRNA from 1 species
CAUGUAAGUCGUACAAGGUAGCCGUUAAGCUUGCUCUCGGGUGACGAGCGGCGGACGGGUGAGUAAUGUCUGGGAAACUGCCUGAUGGAGGGGGAUAACUACUGGAAACGGUAGCUAAUACCGCAUAACGUCGCAAGACCAAAGUGGGGGACCUUCGGGCCUCAUGCCAUCAGAUGUGCCCAGAUGGGAUUAGCUAGUAGGUGGGGUAACGGCUCACCUAGGCGACGAUCCCUAGCUGGUCUGAGAGGAUGACCAGCCACACUGGAACUGAGACACGGUCCAGACUCCUACGGGCAGGCAGCAGUGGGGAAUAUUGCACAAUGGGCGCAAGCCUGAUGCAGCCCAUGCCGCGUGUGUGAAGAAGGCCUUCGGGUUGUAAAGCACUUUCAGCGGGGAGGAAGGCGAUAAGGUUAAUAACCUUGUCGAUUGACGUUACCCGCAGAAGAAGCACCGGCUAACUCCGUGCCAGCAGCCGCGGUAAUACGGAGGGUGCAAGCGUUAAUCGGAAUUACUGGGCGUAAAGCGCACGCAGGCGGUCUGUCAAGUCGGAUGUGAAAUCCCCGGGCUCAACCUGGGAACUGCAUUCGAAACUGGCAGGCUAGAGUCUUGUAGAGGGGGGUAGAAUUCCAGGUGUAGCGGUGAAAUGCGUAGAGAUCUGGAGGAAUACCGGUGGCGAAGGCGGCCCCCUGGACAAAGACUGACGCUCAGGUGCGAAAGCGUGGGGAGCAAACAGGAUUAGAUACCCUGGUAGUCCACGCCGUAAACGAUGUCGAUUUGGAGGUUGUGCCCCUUGAGGCGUGGCUUCCGGAGCUAACGCGUUUAAAUCGACCGCCUGGGGGAGUACGGCCGCCAGGGUUAAAAACUCAAAUGAAAUUGACGGGGGGCCCGCACAAGCGGGGGAAGCAUGUUGGUUUUAAUUUCGAUGGCAACGCGAAAAAACCUUUACCUGGGUCUUGGACAUUCCACAGAAACUUUUCCAGAAAAUGGGAUUGGGUGGCCUUUC